rnacentral:RNase_MRP_RNA from 2 species
AUCCAUAACCAAAGAAUCGUCACUAAUCGAAGCUUACAAAAGGGUUUUAUUUAUUAAAACUCAUACCAUGCUUUGGGUCGAAAGUCUCCCACCAGUCUAUAUGCGGAAAACGUAAUGAGAUUUAAAAAUUUUAAAAUGUUUAAAUCAACUCAUUAAAAAAUAUAAUUUAUUAUAUUUUUUCCUAUCCUAGAUUUCCUUCUGAGAAAUUUAGUGUAUUUUCGGUAAGGAGGUGUUUUCUGUACAUCUCAAACCAUAGUUAUGACGAUUGCUGUAGUUUUUUUUAUGAAAAUUAUGGUAACCCAAUGGAGCUUACUAUUCUUGGUUCAUGGA